rnacentral:rRNA from 1 species
GCUAACUCUGUGCCAGCAGCCGCGGUAAUACAGAGGGUGCAAGCGUUAAUCGGAAUUACUGGGCGUAAAGCGCGCGUAGGUGGUUUGUUAAGUUGGAUGUGAAAGCCCCGGGCUCAACCUGGGAACUGCAUCCAAAACUGGCAGGCUAGAGUACGGUAGAGGGUGGUGGAAUUUCCUGUGUAGCGGUGAAAUGCGUAGAUAUAGGAAGGAACACCAGUGGCGAAGGCGACCACCUGGACUGAUACUGACACUGAGGUGCGAAAGCGUGGGGAGCAAACAGGAUUAGAUACCCCUGUAGUC